AAACUGGUGAUAAUACCGAAUAGNCCAUUUAUGCUGGAAUGCUUUUUGGUUCAAAGGCUUCGGCUGCCUAAGGAUGGAUCUGCGGCCUAUCAGGUAGUAGUGGGUGUAAUGUACCUACUAGCCUACGACGGGUACGGGUUGUGAGAGCAAGAGCCCGGAGAUGGAUUCUGAGACAUAAAUCCAGACCCUACGGGGUGCAGCAGGCGCGAAAUCUUUACAAUGCGGGAAACCGCGAUAAGGGGACACUGAGUGCCAGCAUAUUAUGUUGGCUGUCCACAUGUCUAAAAACCAUGUGUUAGCAAGGGCCGGGCAAGACCGGUGCCAGCCGCCGCGGUAACACCGGCGGCCCGAGUGGUGAUCACUUUUAUUGGGUCUAAAGGGUCCGUAGCCGGUUUAAUCAGUCUUCUGGGAAAUCUGACAGCUCAACUGUUAGGCUUUCAGGGGAUACUGUUAAGCUUGGGACCGGGAGAGGUAAGAGGUACUACAGGGGUAGGAGUGAAAUCUUGUAAUCCCUGUGGGACCGCCGGUGGCGAAGGCGUCUUACCAGAACGGGUCCGACGGUGAGGGACGAAAGCUGGGGGCACGAACCGGAUUAGAUACCCGGGUAGUCCCAGCCGUAAACGAUGUUCGCUAAGUGUCAGGGACGGUGCGACCGUUUCUGGUGCCGUAGGGAAGCCGUGAAGCGAACCACCUGGGAAGUACGGCCGCAAGGCUGAAACUUAAAGGAAUUGGCGGGGGAGCAC
rnacentral:rRNA from 1 species